UCGAGAGAAGGCAAAAAUGAAUACUUCAAGAUAUUGAGGAGGUCGAAAAGGGUACUUGUAUUAUGAACAAGAGAUUGUAAGUUUAGCAAUGAUUAUUUUUAUUCUUGUUGAUUUUGUUUAAAGAAUAACAGUAAAUAUAUAAUUAACGGAUGACUUUUUGUUUUUAAAUGGCAUUUUGUUAUCUAUAUUGUCAAGCUGCUGAAUUUCAGAAACAAGGAGUGCAAGUUAGAGACGAGCCUCGACAUUUGGUUUGGAUAAGAGCUCAUUCCAGACAAAAAGAUGGUGUUAUGACCUUUGACAAUCCUGCCGAUUUUGAAAUAGCUCAAACAAUUAAAGCAUUGGAGGCUCAAAAAAUCCAAGGAGAAAUUGAGACCACUGGCUGAAAUGAUAUCUUAGCGAGAGCAUUAAAGAAUCUUGAACAUGGUGGUUGUGUUAAGGGCGUUAGAUCGAGUGUUACAAAUAAGUUGUACUUUGGUUACAACAAACCAACACAACAAAGUCAAUUGCAAUCAGAUCUUAAGUGUCUCAAAUCAAAAUUAGAAAAUGUGGUUAACACUCAAAAUUUGUUAUUGUCUUACUUAAUGUCAAGUGGUCAGGUUAACGCAGAGCAAUUGAAAGAAUUUGGUGUUUCAAAUGGCAACCAAGUUGGCCAUCAGUUAGCGGGUAUCCAAGUUGGUGGAUCUGGUGGUCAAGGUUUAGGUGGCCUUAGCUUGGGUCAUGACCAAUGCCUUCAAGGUCUUUGCUUUCAACUUGCCUCAGAGCAAAACAAAGUUACCCAUCAGUUAGAAAGUAUCCAAAAGGGUGGUUUUGGUGGUGAAGAGUUAGAUGAUCAUUUAGAUUGCUUUGGCUUUGGAGGUGACCAAAGGGUUCGAGGUUUCAACUUCCAAGAGUAGAAUUUUCAAGUGUUUGAGGUUCAACCUGAGCCAUACCAUGUUGUGUGGCCUGAGGAGGAAUAUGUGCCAGAAAAUGAGAAUUUGGCAACGCAUGUACUUAAUAAUGAACAAGACAUUACUGGCCAACCAUUUCCAAAGGGAGUUGAUAGUCUUUGUUCCUUGGCAAUUAAGAGUGACAAAGGGGUCAAUAUAGUUGCUAUUGGAGAAUUGUAUGUUGAGAUGGAAGAAGUUGUCAAGCAUCAUUUCAAGCCCAUCCCAACUGGUCAUUAUCGAGUUUGUGUUAAAGAAGAAAUCAACCCAAAUGCACCUUUGCCAUGUCCUGAAGGGGAGAUAAAAUUCAUUUGUCAAACAAAGAAUUAUUAUUUAAUAUGGCCUUCUCACUUGUUUUUUCCUAUAAAGAAGGUAAAAUUCAGUUUUAAAUUAUAAUUAUCUGUCACAAUAUAUAAUACGAUCAUUCUUUUUUUUUUU